rnacentral:lncRNA from 1 species
UUCUUUUUCUUUGUUAACUAAUCAUACUAUUUAAAUAUGAUCAAAUAUGUUUUGCCUAUGAGACAUGACCAUAAAGAUCAUUUAAAAAAUAGAGAACUCUAGUCAAACAUAAAAUUUAGGCUCUUACUUUUAUUAUUUUCAAAAUAAAAAUUUCAUUGCACCACUACCAUUGACACCACUUUUAUCAUCACUAUUAUCGCCAUGACCAUCUCUAUACUAUCUGCAUCAUCAUCAUCUCCGUUAUUAUUAUCAUCUUCACUACCACUAUGACCACUAUC